rnacentral:rRNA from 1 species
UACGGGGGGGGCAAGCGUUGUUCGGAAUUACUGGGCGUAAAGGGCGCGUAGGCGGCCUGCUAAGUCACACGUGAAAUCCCUCGGCUCAACCGGGGAACUGCGUGUGAUACUGGCGGGCUUGAAUUCGGGAGAGGGAUGUGGAAUUCCAGGUGUAGCGGUGAAAUGCGUAGAGAUCCGGAAGAACACCGGAGGCGAAGGCGGCUUGCUGGGCAUGGUCUGACGCUGAGGCGCGAAAGCGUGGGGAGCGAACAGGA